rnacentral:rRNA from 1 species
AAUCAACGCUGGCGGCGUGCCUCAGACAUGCAAGUCGAACGCGAAAUUUCCCUUCGGGGAGAAAGUCGAGUGGCGCACGGGUGAGUAACACGUAGGUAAUUUGCCUUUGGGUGGGGAAUAACUCAGGGAAACUUGAGCUAAUACCGCAUAAUGCAGCGGCUCGACAUCGAGACAGUUGUUAAAGCGGGGGAGUCGCAAGACCUCGCGCCUGAAGAGAAGCCUGCGGCAGAUUAGCUAGUUGGUAAGGUAAUGGCUUACCAAGGCGACGAUCUGUAACCGGCCUGAGAGGGCGGUCGGUCACACUGACACUGACAUACGGGUCAGACUCC